ACUAACAAUAUCUCUUAUAAAUUCAAACAAAGGCAUAUCAAAAUCACCAACGAACUUACCAUAAACACCUUAAAAUCACAGACCUAAACGAAAAAGGGCACCUCAAAAGCGUAGGAUCAGCAGAGACAUACAUAGUUCAUUACCAAAAAUAAUUAGAUCACCAAUGCAAUAAAAGACUAAUUGUGUGUGACAAUGGUCAAGACGGACUUAUGUGUUUGUAGUUUUCUUCUAUGUGUUUAUGGUUGGGGAUCGUCAUAAUAAGAAACUGAAUAUUUUUAUGUGUGACAUGCUAAGUGUCACGGGCCGACUUUGCGAGGGUGCAAAGAGGACCGUGCGGCACUCGCUAGCCUUUGAAAGGUAGCAAGUCAGCCUUGUGCGCACCUUGCAAGGAACAAUGGAAACCACACGAUAUUAAUAUGAUGCUAGCAACAAGCAAGAACACAGUUUUAUAUAAUUGUGGAGCGAGCUCAAAGAGCGAGCGGGCACUCGAAUAAAAAGUUGAAAUGAUCUCACGGGACACAGAUGAUUGAAUAAUUCCUCUCUUUAUUGAUGGUAAGACGUUAGUAGGGGCUAAAGUACAUGUGCUUACCUAUACUAGUUCCUUAGUCCAACCGUCGCCGACUAGGAACUCCCCUACAAAGAGCAUAUCGGCCAAAUUCUCACUUGGCUGUGGGAAACAUCAAAAAGCCAAGGAGGGCCAAGCUAAAUAAAAUAAAA
rnacentral:lncRNA from 1 species